rnacentral:tRNA from 1 species
GGCACUUUGGCGGAGUGGUUAUCGCGCAGCCCUGCUAAGGCUGUUCCUUCGGGAGCAUGAGUUCGAAUCUCAUAGGUGUCG